CAGAGAAGUGCCUCGCAAGAGGAAUUCGGAGACAGGUGCUGCAUGGCUGUCGUCAGCUCGUGUCGUGAGAUGUUGGGUUAAGUCCCGCAACGAGCGCAACCCUUGUCUUUAGUUGCCAUCAUUAAGUUGGGCACUCUAAAGAGACUGCCGGUGUCAAACCGGAGGAAGGUGGGGAUGACGUCAAGUCCUCAUGGCCUUUAUGACCAGGGCUACACACGUACUACAAUGGCAGGUACAAAGGGCAGCCACUUAGCGAUAAGGCGCGAAUCCCGUAAAACCUGUCUCAGUCCGGAUUGGAGUCUGCAACUCGACUCCAUGAAGUUGGAAUCGCUAGUAAUCGCAGAUCAGCACGCUGCGGUGAAUACGUUCCCGGGCCUU
rnacentral:rRNA from 1 species